CAGAGCAUUCAUUUCAUGGAUGCAGUAGGUAAGACAGCCAGCGGCUCACUUUGGGUCACACCACCCCAGAGCCACUGAGCCGCCCCACCUGGGGCUCCAGUUCCUGGGGACAGUCAGAGUGCAGCACCUCUCACAGCAAGCAGAGCGAGGCCAAGACAUGUGGAGAAGCCUGCCAAUCCCUCAGGAUACAUUCUCUGAGCACUCGACUUGGUGGGAGUUUCAGGAAAUUCUGCAACAAGGCAGAGGGAGGAGGCUGGGAGAAGUUGAGAGAAAUGCUCAGACAGUAUGGGGGAGGAGGAGGCAAUCUGGAAAUCUUGCACUGAAAAAGGUUGGAACAUAUCUCUCUUCCACCUUCCUUCGUAAGGAGCCUCCACCAUUGGUCUGCUAUUUCUCCCCAACUUUCAGUCAGGGCUGUCUGAUGGAUUAAAUAGUGUCGUGAAUGUGAAAGAGCUCUAUACGCCAUUCAGUGCAAAGAAGAUAUGAAGAAUUUCUUUUCUUUCCUUUUUUUUUUUUUUUGAGACAAUAUCUCGCUCUGUCACCCAGGCUGGAGUGUGGUGGCCUGAUCACAGCUCAUUGCAACCUCUGCCUCCUGGACUCAAGUGAUCCUCCCACCUCAGCCUCCUGAGUAGCUGGGACUAUGGUUGUGCACCACCACACUCGGCUAAUUUUUAUAUGUUUAGUAGAGACUGGGUUUCUCCAUGUUGACCGGGCUGGUCUCAAACUCCUGGGCUCAAGAGAUCUGCCUGCCUUGGCCUCCCAAAAUACUGGGAUUACAGGCAUGAGCCACCUCUCCUUGCUCCAUAUGAAGAAUUUCUAAUUGUCCAAUAGAAUUUUUAUUUGUCUAGCUUUCAAAUCAGUUGAAUAUGUAUACUUCAGGAGAUCAGUGAAUAGGUUUGAGGGAGGCAAUAGCAAUACUCUGAGAAAUAAAGCUUUUUACAUGGUCCAAACUUACCAGGUUUAGGGUACAGCUCUGCAGCACUGUUUCCCUUAUGUUCUUUUGGAGGGUUCCACAAGAGUCAAGAUACUAACGCGAGGAGAAGCAACUGGUUCCUAGGACAUGAGCUAUCUUCCUAGGGUACUUAAUGCAUUGUAGAUGCUCAAGACUUAGCCUUUGAUGGAUUGAAAAUAUGUGGCCAGCAUGAUCCAGAGGAAACGGGGUGUUUCUCUGCCUAGUUGUGACUGUGUCUCCUCAGCUCUUCUUGACUCCUCUGGAAGAGGCAGGUAGAACGGGAAAAGGGAAGUAGGAAAAAUGAAAAGAGGAGGGAAAUAGAAUGAUACCUGGGGGUGGAAGGAGAGAAAUUCUUAGAAUUGGGAAGAGGAAACACUGUCAUUACAUUAAGUUUGCUGGCAUGAAGGAUGCUGGAGUGAAGGGAUGCUGAAGUGCUCCUGGACCCAUCACAAAAUGUUUGCAGAUGAAGAAGCUAAAGUUAGAGAGGGGAAAUGACGAAUUCAGGGUUACUUAUAAAGGCUGAUACUUUAGCAAUCAUUGGUGGUUUUCUAUGGUAUUUUAAGCAACAACAAAAAAAAAACCUUGAUGUUAUUCUUAACAUGUCUUCCUCUGUCUCUAAUGCCCAAAUUAAAUCCAUAAGCAAAUUCUGUUGAGCCUAUUUGAAAAUAUAUCCCGAACCCAGCUAUUCCUCUUUUCCUCCACCAUUAUCUUCAUCCUAGUCAAGUCACCCUCUCCUCUCCCCUGAAUUAGGAAAUGAUCUUGAGCUUUUCCCAUGUCCUGGGUAUGGUCUCUUCACACAGCAGCCAAAAUGAUCCUUUAAACACUUAAGAUCAUGUUACCUCUCUGCCCAACAUACCCACUGACUUCCCACCUCACUCAGAGUAAAAUUCAAAGAGCUGUCUGCCACCUAUGAAGCCCUGGAUAAACCUGCCUCCCACUGCAUCUCUCCUUUCGCUAUAUCCUGAUAUUCCUUUGACAAAUGCAGCACGCUCCUACCUCAGGGCCUUUGUAGUUGGUGCUUCCCUCUGCCCGAAACAUUCUUCCCUCAGAUAUUUGCAUGGCUCAAUUCUCACUCAGACUUCAGGUCUGCUCAAGGGUCAGCUUAUCAGACCACUUUCUUGAUUGUCUUCUGUAAAUUAGCACACACAUUCCACACUCCUGUCCUCUACUCCACUUCUUUUUCCUUCUGGCAUUUGUCCCCGUUGUACAUAUUUAGUAUUAUCUGUCUCCAUUCACUAGAAUAUAAAUUCUAUGAGGGCAGAGAUUUGCCUGUUUUCUUUUCUAUCCAUUAUUUCUCCUAUCUGGCAUAUAUUAGGCCCUGAAAAACGUUUGUUCAAUCAGUGAAUAAAUGAACUGAAGCCCAAUGUCUCAGAGCAAAGGAAUAAAGCACUGGGAAUUCCAAAAAGAUGUGGAGUUAAUUCUUAAUUCUGUUAUUUGCCGGCUGUCUUUUAGCCACAUUAUCAGCCUCCAUUUCUCCAGCCUGUUACAUGGAGAUAAUACCCA
rnacentral:lncRNA from 1 species